rnacentral:rRNA from 1 species
CCUACGGGUGGCAGCAGUGGGGAAUAUUGCUCAAUGGGGGAAACCCUGAAGCAGCAACGCCGCGUGGAGGAAGAAGGUCUUCGGAGUGUAAACCCCUUUUGGUAGAGAAGAAAAUGACGGUAUCUAACGAAUAAGCACCGGCUAACUACGUGCCAGCAGCCGCGGUAAUACGGAGGGGGCAAGCGUUACUCGGAAUAACUGGGCGUAAAGGGCGCGUAGGCGGGGUAGCAAGGCAGAUGUGAAAUCCUAGGGCUUAACCAUGGAACUGCAUUUGAAACUGAUAGGCUAGAGUAUGGGAGAGGUAGGUGGAAUUCGUGGUGUAGGGGUGAAAUGCGUAGAGAUCAGGAGGAAUACUGAUUGCGAAGGCGACCUGCUGGAACAUAACUGACGCUGAGGCGCGAAAGCGUGGGGAGCAAACAGGAUUAGAUACCCCGGUAGUC